CCUAACACAUGCAAGUCGUACGAGAAAGUUGGCUUCGGCCGAUGAGUAAAGUGGCGCACGGGUGAGUAACGCGUGGAUAAUCUACCCCUCAGUUGGGAAUAACUCAUCGAAAGGUGGGCUAAUACCGAAUAAUACUGCAUGACUUCUGUUGUGUAGUCAAAGAUGGCCUCUGCUUGCAUGCUAUUGCUGAAGGAUGAGUCCGCGUACCAUUAGCUAGUUGGUAGGGUAAUGGCCUACCAAGGCAACGAUGGUUAGCUGGUCUGAGAGGAUGAUCAGCCACACUGGAACUGAGACACGGUCCAGACUCCUACGGGAGGCAGCAGUGAGGAAUAUUGCGCAAUGGGGGAAACCCUGACGCAGCAACGCCGCGUGAGUGAGGAAGGUUUUCGGACCGUAAAGCUCUGUCGAGCGGGAAGAAAUGCAUAAUGGCUAAUAUCCAUUAUGCUUGACGGUACCGCUAAAGGAAGCACCGGCUAACUCCGUG
rnacentral:rRNA from 1 species